GGGUCAAUGAUGACAACCCAAUGUCAUGAAGAGGGGUGAUGAAAUAAAAUUCAUGCUCAAUAGGAUUAUGCUGAGGCCC
ensembl:snoRNA